rnacentral:lncRNA from 1 species
AUAUCUGUUGCAUUUAUGAAAUGAUGUGAAGUUUUUGAAAGAGGGAUACAAUGAUUACAAGAUAAUCUCGUGUAUUUUAUAUGCUCACCAUCUUGCUUAAAUCCUAACAAACUUAGCUAGAAAAACAACAAACUCAUAACAACCUUGACUACUUAAAUCCACUAACUUACAUGAAAAAAAAAUCUAAUACAAGAAUGAUAUAUUCAACAAUCUCAAAG